rnacentral:sRNA from 1 species
AUGAUCUUUGAAACCGCUUUCUCAAAGAGCUGGAGAGUUUAUCCAUGUAAAUUAGCAACCAUGAAGUAUAAGGAGAAAACUGAGAUUUCAGUAGGGCACGGACAUGGUUGUUAAAAGCAGAACCCAGCUGCCUUUGUAAUGUACACAUUUCUCAUCGCGGCUCUUCUUUUCCUUGUGUAUUAUUAUUUUACACUUGGCUGAUGUUAUUCUUGACAAUACUGGGUCCUUCGAGGCAGAGAUGUUUGAUGUGAUCGGGUGCCACUUUGGGACCCCCUUGUUCUUUUGUUGGGUUUGUAUCGAGUUAGGUCAGUUGAUUUCUUUCAUAUGUACCAUACUGUGAUUACCAUACGAACUUCUAGAUUGUAUUAAGGAUGUCUUGAUC